AGUCCCAUGGUGUAAUGGUAGCACAUCAGUUUUUGGAGCUGAGAGUUUUGGUUCAAAUCCAGGUGGGACUG
rnacentral:tRNA from 1 species